CCAUCGCCUGGGCUGAGCCGGAAGACGAGCCUGGCCCCAAGGUGGACGGGGCGGACGAUGAAAUCUAUGUCCACGCAGCAGUGGGACUGCGGGGUCCCGUGCUAGGUCCGUGGGCAGCUUUCCUGAGGACCUGCCAUAGUGUUUCCCGUCCUGGCUGGGCCAGCUGACCUU